GCGCGUAAAUUGCCCGAAUCCUGACACAGGGAGGUAGUGACAAGAAAUAACAAUACAGGGCUACUUUAGUCUUGUAAUUGGAAUGAGUACAAUUUACAUCUCUUCACGAGGAUCAAUUGGAGGGCAAGUCUGGUGCCAGCAGCCGCGGUAAUUCCAGCUCCAAUAGCGUAUAUUAAAGUUGUUGCAGUUAAAACGCUCGUAGUCGGAUUUCGGGGCCUGCCUGCCGGUCUGCCGAUGGGUAUGCACUGGCAGGCGCGUCCUUCCUUCCGGAGACUGUCCCUACUCUUAACUGAGCGGGGUCGGGAGACGGAUCGUUUACUUUGAAAAAAUCAGAGUGUUUCAAGCAGGCAGCUCGCUCUUGCAUGGAUUAGCAUGGGAUAAUGAAAUAGGACUUUGGUGCUAUUUUGUUGGUUUCGAACACCGAGGUAAUGAUUAACAGGGACAGUCAGGGGCACUCGUAUUCC
rnacentral:rRNA from 1 species